GAUCUGAUCGAAACGUGAAUUUAUAUUUGUUGUUCAGUUUUCGUGAGCUUACAGUCGUGUUUAAGAAUGUGGUUUAUUUUGUAUGCAUUUCUGGCAUUACCAUUGCUGGUAUUUGCGUACUUUGAACUGAGUGUUGCUAAAAAGAAACGUGUUCUUAACAAAAUAAAGGGCCCGCCCACACUGCCGAUUCUUGGCAAUGCUCACCAAGUUGGCAAAAGUCCUGCUGCCAUAUUAAAUACCUUGUUUGACUGGUGGUAUGAAUACGACAAGGAUAACUAUCGUAUGUGGAUAGGCUACAAUGGAAACAUUUGUGUGACUAAUCCCAAACAUUUGGAGGUCAUAUUGAACAGCAUCACGUUAAUAAAAAAAUCUGGUAUUUACGAUUUGUUGAAUCCUUGGCUGGGCGAAGGACUGCUCACAAGCACCGGCAGCAAAUGGCAUAAGCACCGCAAGAUGAUAACGCCCGCCUUCCACUUUAAUAUCCUCCAAGAUUUUCACCAAGUCAUGAAUGAAAACUCAACCAAAUUCAUCAAGCGGCUCAAGAAAGUAUCCGCUGGUGACAGUAUUAUAGAUUUCCAGGACGAAACACAUUAUUUAACUUUGGACGUCAUCUGCGACACAGCGAUGGGAGUGACCAUUAAUGCCAUUGAACAGCGCGACACCGUCGAGGUGGUGAAGGCUUUUAAAGACAUGUGUUACAACAUAAACAUGCGGGCAUUCCAUCCCUUCAAGCGUUCCGAGCUGCUUUAUCGGUUAGCUCCAGAUUAUCCUGCCAAUGUGAAAACCCUGAAAAUUUUACAAGACUUUACCAACGAAAUAAUCGAGAAGCGUAUUGAGGCUCAUCGCACGGGUAUCGCCAAGAAAACGGAAGACAACGAAUUCUCACGAGAUAUACGAAGAGGUCUCCACAUUUAUGUUUGAGGGACACGACACGACGACGUCGGGCGUGGCAUAUGCUGCCUACUUACUAUCCAGGUUUCCGGAGGAACAGAGCGUAAGCUUUUUGAGGAACAGCGAGCUGUCAUGGGCAAUGAGAUGCAUCGGGAUGCCACAUUCCAGGAAAUCGCAGAGAUGAAAUACUU
rnacentral:misc_RNA from 1 species